ACAUUGGGACUGAGACACUGCCCAGACUCCUACGGGAGGCUGCAGUAACGAAUAUUGCACAAUGGGCGCAAGCCUGAUGCGGCGACGCCGCGUGUGGGAGUAAGCCCUUCGGGGUGUAAACCACUGUCAGGGACUACCAAGCAAUGGAGGUGAAUAAUCUCCUGCGUUGAGGCGUCCCAGAGGAAGUCACGGCUAACUUCGUGCCAGCAGCCGCGGUAAUACGAAGGUGGCAAGCGUUGUUCGGAAUCACUGGGCUUAAAGAGCACGUAGGCGGACUGUCAAGCGUCUUGUGAAAUCCCUCGGCUUAACCGAGGAAUUGCUGGGCGAACUGACAGUCUUGAGGCAAGUAGGGGCGCACGGAACUCUUGGUGGAGCGGUGGAAUGCGUAGAUAUCAAGAGGAACGCCAGAGGCGAAGGCGGUGCGCUGGGCUUGACCUGACGCUGAGGUGCGAAAGCCAGGGGAGCGAACGGGAUUAGAUACCCCGGUAGUCCUGGCCAUAAACGAUGUCUACUAGAUCUGAGGUGUUCUGACACACUUCUGGUCGAAACAAAAGCGUUAAGUAGACCGCCUGGGGAGUACGGUCGCAAGGCUAAAACUCAAAGGAAUUGACGGGGGCUCACACAAGCGGUGGAGCAUGUUGCUUAAUUCGAUGCAACGCGAAGAACCUUAUCCUGGGCUUGACAUGCUUGGAUGCCCAUCUAGAAAUAGAGUAGGCUGCCCUUCGGGGUGAAACUUGCACAGGUGCUGCAUGGCUGUCGUCAGCUCGUGUCGUGAGAUGUUGGGUUAAGUCCCGUAACGAGCGAAACCCUUGUCGUUAGUUGCCAGCGAGUAAAGUCGGGGACUCUAACGAGACUGCCGGUGUUAAACCGGAGGAAGGUGGGGAUGACGUCAAGUCCUCAUGGCCUUUAUGCCCAGGGCUGCAAACGUGCUACAAUGGCGUGUACAAACCGACGCAAGACCGCGAGGUGGAGCAAAUCGGAAAAAGCACGCCCCAGUUCGGAUUGGAGUCUGCAACUCGACUCCAUGAAGUUGGAAUCGCUAGUAAUCGCAGAUCAGCAAUGCUGCGGUGAAUGUGUUCCUGAGCCUUGUACACACCGCCCGUCAAGUCAUGGAAGCCGGGAGCACCCGAAGUCGGG
rnacentral:rRNA from 1 species